UCUUCGGGGAUGAUUAAACCGGCGCACGGGUGAGUAACACGUGAGUGACCUGCCUUUUAGACUGGAACAACUUACCGAAAGGUGAGCUAAUGCCGGAUGAGUUAUAUAAGUGCAUGUUUAUAUAGGAAAAGUUGGGGAGACCUGACGCUGAAAGAUGGACUCGCGUCCCAUUAGCUAGUUGGUAGGGUAAUGGCCUACCAAGGCGACGAUGGGUAGCCGGCCUGAGAGGGUGGCCGGCCACACUGGGACUGAGACACGGCCCAGACUCCUACGGGAGGCAGCAGUGGGGAAUUUUGCGCAAUGCUCGUAAGAGUGACGCAGCGACGCCGCGUGAAUGACGAAGGCCUUCGGGUCGUAAAGUUCUUUCGACAGGGAAGAAAAUGCCUAUAAGUAACUGUGUAUGUAUUGACGGUACCUGUAUAAGCAGCCCCGGCUAACUCCGUGCCAGCAGCCGCGGUAAUACGGAGGGGGCGAGCGUUGUUCGGAGUGACUGGGCGUAAAGAGCACGUAGGCGGUGUUGUAAGUCAUUAGUCAAAGACUAGAGCUCAACUUUAGUAAGGCUAGUGAUACUAUAAUACUAGAGUAUCAGAGAGGAUUGCAGAAUUCCUGGUGUAGCGGUGAAAUGCGUAGAUAUCAGGAGGAAUACCGUUAGCGAAGGCGGCAAUCUGGCUGGAAACUGACGCUGAGGUGCGAAAGCGUGGGUAGCAAACAGGAUUAGAUACCCUGGUAGUCCACGCUGUAAACGAUGGAUGCUAGGUGU
rnacentral:rRNA from 1 species